rnacentral:rRNA from 1 species
GACGAACGCUGGCGGCGUGCCUAAUACAUGCAAGUCGAACGCAGUGGGGACGGGUGAGUAACACGUGGGUAACCUCCCCAUCAGACGGGAUAACACUUGGCAACAGGUGCUAAACCGACACUGACGGAUGUACCCGCGGUGCAUUAGCCAGUGGGUGAGGAAACGGCUCACCAAGGCCACGAUGCGUAGCCGGCCUGAGAGGGUGAUCGGCCACACUGGGACUGAGACACGGCCCAGACUCCUACGGGAGGCAGCAGUAGGGAAUCUUCGGCAAUGGACGAAAGUCUGACCGAGCAACGCCGCGUGAGUGAAGAAGGUUUUCGGAUCGUAAAACUCUGUUGUUAGAGAAGCGGUAUCUAACCAGAAAGCAACGGCUAACUACGUGCCAGCAGCCGCGGUAAUAC